rnacentral:rRNA from 1 species
AGUGACCGCUGGCGGUAGGCCUAACACAUGCAAGUCGAACGGCAGCACAGUAAGAGCUUGCUCUUACGGGUGGCGAGUGGCGGACGGGUGAGGAAUACAUCGGAAUCUACUUUUUCGUGGGGGAUAACGUAGGGAAACUUACGCUAAUACCGCAUACGCCCUACGGGUGAAAGCAGGGGAUCUUCGGACCUUGCGCGAUUGAAUGAGCCGAUGUCGGAUUAGCUAGUUGGCGGGGUAAAGGCCCACAAAGGCGACGAUCCGUAGCUGGUCUGAGAGGAUGAUCAGCCACACUGGAACUGGGACACGGUCCAGACUCCUACGGGAGGCAGCAGUGGGGAAUAUUGGACAAUGGGCGCAAGCCUGAUCCAGCCAUACCGCGUGGGUGAAGAAGGCCUUCGGGUGGUAAAGCCCGUUUGUUGGGAAAGAAAAGCAGCAGGUUAAAACCCCGCUGUUCUGACGGUACCCAAAGAAUAAGCACCGGCUAACUUCGUG